UACAGAGGGUGCGAGCGUUAAUCGGAAUUACUGGGCGUAAAGCGCGCGUAGGCGGCUUUGCAAGUCGGGUGUGAAAUCCCCAGGCCUAACCUGGGAACUGCAUUCGAGACUGCAUGGCUAGAGUAUCGGAGAGGGAAGUGGAAUUUCAGGUGUAGCGGUGAAAUGCGUAGAUAUCUGAAGGAACAUCAGUGGCGAAAGCGGCGAUCUGGGAAGAUACUGACGCUGAGGUGCGAAAGCGUGGGGAGCAAACAGG
rnacentral:rRNA from 1 species